AUACGAAGGGGGCUAGCGUUGUUCGGAAUUACUGGGCGUAAAGCGCACGUAGGCGGAUAUUUAAGUCAGGGGUGAAAUCCCGGGGCUCAACCCCGGAACUGCCUUUGAUACUGGGUAUCUCGAGUCCGAGAGAGGUGAGUGGAAUUCCGAGUGUAGAGGUGAAAUUCGCAGAUAUUCGGAGGAACACCAGUGGCGAAGGCGGCUCACUGGCUCGGUACUGACGCUGAGGUGCGAAAGCGUGGGGAGCAAACA
rnacentral:rRNA from 1 species